AUUGAACGCUGGCGGCAGGCCUAACACAUGCAAGUCGAACGGUAACAGGGAUCAGCUUGCUGAUUCGCUGACGAGUGGCGGACGGGUGAGUAAUGUCUGGGAAACUGCCUGAUGGAGGGGGAUAACUACUGGAAACGGUAGCUAAUACCGCAUAACGUCGCAAGACCAAAGAGGGGGACCUUCUGGCCUCUUGCCAUCGGGUGUGCCCAGAUGGGAUUAGCUAGUAGGUGGGGUAACGGCUCACCUAGGCGACGAUCCCUAGCUGGUCUGAGAGGAUGACCAGCCACACUGGAACUGAGACACGGUCCAGACUCCUACGGGAGGCAGCAGUGGGGAAUAUUGCACAAUGGGCGCAAGCCUGAUGCAGCCAUGCCGCGUGUAUGAAGAAGGCCUUCGGGUUGUAAAGUACUUUUAGCGGGGAGGAAGGGAGUAAAGUUAAUACCUUGGCUCAUUGACGUUACCCGAAGAAGAAGCACCGGCUAACUCCGUG
rnacentral:rRNA from 1 species